UUCUUCACCCACGAAAGCUUAUGCUCCAAUUCAUCUGUUAGUCUUAAAGGUGCCACAAGACUCUCUGAUGCUAUAUGGGCAUAGUGAUUAAAACACUAAUUACAUAUUAGAGAAGAUGCAACUUAGGAUGUUUUUUUGUUAUUUUAAUUUUAUGCAAAGGAUUACACUCAAUUAAAAUUGGCUUUGUAAAUACACAUACACUCACUCACACAAUUAGUCAUUUUUUAAUGGGGGAGAGCUAAUUCAUACAAAUAAAAAACAUUAUUGAAAACCUGUCCAAAAGAGCUUGUGUCAUUAAAAAAUUUAAAUAGGCCACAGUCAACUUAAAAAUCACAAUUCUACCCCAAAAUGUUGUAACUACUAUUGUUAUAAGUAAACCUUAAUAUUACUGUAACUGAAAGAGAUUAGAGGAAAAAAGUAUUUAUUUUCAGUUUGUUUACUUUGUAAACUGGAUGUAGUCAGUUUCACCAUUUCCCCCUAUUGUUUGUAUGGUGUUUUGUGCAGCAACAGGGGAGAGAAAAACAUUUCUUUAAACAAAUGAAAAUGUGAUCACAAACCACAAAAAUCUGCAGGGGAAUUCAGCGAUAAAUGUAGUAUCAACUCAGGCGCAGCUGUAAAAAUUACUUUUAAUUAUUUUUUGACCUAACUGAAAAAAUACAUAUAUCAAGAUUAGCUUUCAUUUAUUUUUUAAAUACCAAGAACAUGAGUUCUACCAUUUAGUAAUCUGCCAUGACCUUCUAUUUACAGCCAAGUUAGGAGGACUCAAAAGAGUGACUUUCUUUUCUUUCUCCCACAAUCAUAGUGAUGCUAGCCUGCCUUUAUUAAUGGGUGCAUUGCCAUUGGAUGGAGCCCCUAGGACAGCAUCUGGUCACUUAACUCCAGGACCAACUCCCGGACCUACUCCUGAAAAGAUGAGACAAGGGUUGACAAAACAAGAAGACUCAGAAGAUAAAUCUGUUUUUUAUAUCAAGAAGCACUACAUGGUGCCAUGAAGUUUGGCUGACACAUGGAAUUAGCCUAGAGAGGAUCAGCUGCUAGGAAGGAUGUGUUUGCUCAACCUCACGUGUUCAGGCAGGAGAAACACUCUGGUCCUGAGAACUCCAUUUACUCUAACUGAUUGAUUGGAACUAUUCCUGCUCCUAACUUAUGGACUCCACAAGUGCCACACAUUAGCUCAUAUGCAAGUCCCAAUAUUACACAUACAAGAAUAAGGUGUAAUUAGGUCUUACAAAAAGAGCUGGUGGAAAAUAGCAGGUGAGAGGUUUUCCAUGUAAAAUGUUGAUUUUUAAUCAAAAAAACCCCAAACGUGAAAGAUGAAGAUUUUAAGUUGAAAAUCAAUUGUUGGGGCUUUUCAGUGGGUUUGUUGUUGUUGUUGUUGUUGCAGUUUCUGGCUCAAAAUUUCUGAUUGUCCAGUGGGGAAUUUUUUUUGAGGAAAAGACAUUUCCUGCAAUAAUUUUCAGUUAGUUGAAAACCUGAUUUUCUGUCAAAAACAAAAACAAAAAGUUGAUGGAAAAAUUUCAAUCAGCUCUACUUACAAACUAAUGUGUGAACACUGAUAGAGACAUACCAAACACAAUGCGAGAUCUCACCAAGUGCAAAGGAUAGGCCCUCUCAGAAAGUUAUUUAACUUUUUCCAGAGCUAAAGAUUAGAAAAAUAAAUAGAUUUAUAAAAGAUUUACUUAUCAAUGCCCUGCUGUAUUAUAUGUUAUCCUGGAAUACAGAUCAAAUAAUUGUUCUAAAACAAUGGACUGUCAUGUCUGUAAGUUAAAUUCUGGUGCCAUUUAGUUAACGGAGUCAUUAUGUAGUUAAAGGCCUGAUUCUCAUUUACACAAAUGUCCCUUUAGCGUCUCUGGCAGUACAAAGAGGCUGUAAAUUGAGUACAAUGUAAUUUACACAGAUUUGAGGGGCUUCUUAUGCUGUGUAAAGGGGCCUUAGUGUAAAUGAAAACUGAGCCUCAAAUAAUAAAAGUUUUCCUAAAUACAAAACAUUAUAAUCAACCUCUUGUGUUAAUAGCCUACACAUUUCAAUAAAGUAAACAACAACCCAAAAAGCCGUUUUGGAGUGAGAGGAUUUAAAAAGUAGGAUUGGCACAAUAAACUUUGAAUCUUUUUUAACAAACAAAAUAUCUCUCACUAAUAUUUCUUCACUUUAUGUGUACACAUACAUCCAUAUUAUACAUAUAAAACACAUGCAUUCAAAAAAAGUAAGGAAGCUGUUGGUUUGGUUUUGAAAAGCCUUCUUUUUUCUCCUUUAGGUUAGACCUUUUAGGCCAAGUUUCAUCAUGAAAACAAGUAUUUAUGAGAAAAAUGCUGACAUUGCCUUACUAAUAGCAGCACUAACAGAGAUUGUUACAAUGUCUAUUUACUCUGGUACAGUAUUAAAUAAGAUAUGUGAACUCACCAUAGCAACCCCUGCAUCACAUAGCAGAUAUGCUGCUUCUAAGAUACAGUGGAACCUUUCUGAAGAAAUACAUUCAGACAAACAUCUAUCAAUUUCAAAUUGUGUUUUUAAAAUAUAUUGUUAACAGUACAACACAACACAACUUGUUGCUAUUUAAUUUAUCUGUUUAUUCUUGCACCUUUGCCUUUGAUUGACGGUGCUUCAGCUUUAUUGUCAGGAAAAAAGUAAAUUUGGAUAUCUAUCCAAUAUCCUCUGAGGUAAAAACUGCUGCAAAUAAAUUAUUUAGCAUCUCAGAAAUGUCAUAUCCUUAAGGGCUCCCUUUGCUCCCUGACAGUCCAGAAGACCCACUAUUUUACUUGCAAUCUUCUGCCUUCUCGAUACCCCGAGAUUCUGCGAAGACGUAUAUCUGUGAGAAGUCCCAUUGACUUCCAUGAGGGAAAAUGACUUCAGUGGAAUUACACUUAGGAGUAAAGUUAAGCACAUGUUAUGUUUUUACAGAACUGGGGUUAUGAGAAUGUAUGGUUUACUUUUAAGUCUUUGACUAUGUCUAUACUACAGACCUUAGAGUGGCAUAGCUGUAUUGCUACAGCUGUGCCGCUGUAAGGUCUCCCAUGUAGUCACUCUUUGCUGGUAGGAGAGAACUCUCCUGCCAGCAUAAUUAAACCGCCCCCACAAGCAGCGUUAGCUGUAUCGGCAGGAGAGCCUCUCCUGCUGACAUAGUACUGUCCACACCAGCACUUUUGUCGGUGAAAUUUACGUCAAUCAGGGUUGUGUUUUUUCACACCCCUGACCAACAAAAGUUUUGCCAACAAAAGUACCAGUGCAGACAAAGCCUUUGACUACUUGCUGUUCAUUUUCCCUACUAAUUUUCAUCAUGCAUUUUACCUGCCAUACUGUAUGCUCCUUUUAAUUGUCUUGAUUGGGCUGGCUUUCCAUUUCUGCAUAAAUGAAAAAUCUCUUGUACCUUGUUGCCCUUUAACCAGGCAGUUGUUUUCUUUCUUUUUGUUUAGGAGUAUGCAUACUUUCUCUCAAUCUGCUAGGCUUAAGUAGCUUCCCAGGUGAAUCUAAUUUCCUCACUUUCAUCUAUGAGGUCCAAACCUUAUCGUACCAGAGGCAUAAUCUUGUAUCUCAAAAAAUCCCAAAUCCUUGGAAUAGACAUGAAAUCAUUCAUGCUGCUGCUUUCCAGUUAUGCCUAAUGAUUAUUCUUGAUCAUGUUCCUGGUUUGGCAAAACUGAUACCCAAGCCUCAUCCAACCAAACUACAUCCUUGCUGCCAAGCCAUCAAUAUACCUUCAGCCCAAAUAGCUCCACGGAGGAAUUUUCUGUAGGACUGAGAAGGAAGCCCUCAGUUUGUUUUGGUCCAACCAUGGCGGUGGGGUCCAAACAUGACAGUCCAAUCAUAGUCUGAUCUUUCCUGGUAAAUGGGUAGCCCUACAUGCUCUCAUUUUGCUAGAUAAGGCUGCCAAAGGAAAUGCUGACGCUGCAUAUUGGUACAUACCUUCCACUUUGAACCUUCCUGCACUGAUUACCUGAGCAAUUAUUUGAAUUGCUAUUGGCAACUGCAUUUUUUUAAUCUCUGCUGUAUUUAAAGAAGGGUGAAAGAUUAUACUGGUCAGUCUUCUUCAAAAUACUAGUUCUACCUUUAGCUGUGUACAGGAUAUGUUGCUCAUUGGGGUUCACUGGAGCAGGGCUGCCAGUUUACUUUCUAUAGAGAUAUAGAGCAAUAAGGGUGAUGUCGUGGUGGGCAUCUGCUAUAGAUCACCAGACCAGGAUGAUGAGGUAGACAAGGCUUUCUUUGGACAACUAACAGAAGUUUCCAGAUCACAGGCCCUGGU